rnacentral:lncRNA from 1 species
ACUGGGAAGCCUACAUCACCUGUGCUACAGACAGACCAACUGCAGAAGUACUGACCCAGUCAUCUGUGGAGGGUCCUAGAAUCUUUAGCUUUCAAAAGGCUGUCUAGGUGGUCUGGGAACCUGUUUGUGGGGAAUACCUAUUGCUUAUAAUAAAUCCUUGUGGUUCUGCCUAGCUAUUUUGUUAUAUUUUGAGGGAUCUAGGAUGGGAGUGUUGAUUGGCGGAGAGAGUGGAUUCUGACAUUACUAAUAUUAUAAAGGCAGGACAUAGCACAGGCUGUAAAGGGUUUACAUGAGGGUUCCAGUUUCAUCUCCAGAACCCACAUAAAAAAGCCAGUUCUGUGCUAUGUGCUUAUAAUCCUAGCUUUGGAGUCAGUGGUGGGGCUAGGAAACUUAGUACUUGAGUUUGCAAGGGCUGGGAGAAGAGAAGCAACCCCUACACUCACUGUAGCCAACUCAGCCUGCUAGGUGAGUUCUUGGCCGGUGAGAGAACUUACUUGUGUCAAAUAGAAACAUGGACAGCAAGCGAGGAAUGACGCCCAGGUUGUCUUCUCCUUUCUACCUGCUAAUACAUACAUGUGCACCCACAGAUACAUGAAGAUACACGGCCAGGUACACACCUAUACACACAACAAGCAAAACUCUGAAUGAUGUUGCUAAUAGUAGCUAAUUAGUUGGGUCCUGGGCUAAUUAAUGUCUGUUUUGGCCCUAUAUGUGACCACGGUUAUUCAGUUUUAUAGGCAGGAAGUAUGGCUUACAGAUAUCCCCUGUCAUUUUCCCAUAGUCACCCAGAUGAUAGAUGGCAGAGGCAGAGCAUGAACUCGGGCUGUUGUCUGACUCAAGAGGCAGCUCUCCCUUAAGGGAUACAGCUUUAAGUUUAAGUGAGAUUUUAUUUGUAGGAAUGAGAUGACAGAGAGACAGACUCGGAGGCCUGGGAGCCAUGUGUGUCUUGUGUACAAGGAAGUCGCUAUUUUCCAGGAAAGGGAAAGAUGUGUUCUUUUUCUUCUUUUCGGUUUCUUAGCUACAGUAUAUCUCUCUUAGAAGCUUGUGACAGACGUCCAUGGAUUCAAACACAGACAUCAGGGUGAAGCAGGGGCUCAUGUGUUUCCUUUGAAGAGCAAAAACUAAUUUUUUUUUUCCUGCACAUGAGAUGCAUGACAAGUGUGUUAUCGUUCUCCCUACAUUGGUCAAUAAUUAUGGUGUACAAUAUACAGUCCUUAUAGUUGUGUAGACAAUGGUGAUGGUUUUUUUUUUUGUUUGUUUGUUUGUUUUAUUUUGUUUUCUCCUUGUUUUGUUUUCAGCCUGGCGAAUUUCAGCACUCCGCACUUGCAUAAAGAGUGCAUUGAUUCUCUAACACUUACUGCUGAAAGAUUAGCAUCCUAUCAGCACCAGUAGGAUCAACCAGUAGGUCUCAAAAAUUUCCAUAGCCAUUUCUGCCAAGCCGGUCAAUCCCCACACAUGGGAAGGAAUGCGGCAGAUUCGGGAGCCCAAUAAAUAUUUGUUAAAUGAGACAGGGACUGAGUUUUUUUGCAAGUGUGCACCAUAAUCCUUGCAAGGCACUGUGCAUCAUGGUGAGGGCUUCUGAAAAAGAGAGAGAGAAGGCAGGCUUUAGUCACAGGAUGCCUGAAUUUCUCCCUGAGUGGCAGACUGGCCAGCUCCUACUUGCCUACCUGGAGGAACACUGUGUCCCCUAAGUGUAGCAGUACUAAUUAAUAGGCUUUAAAAUAAUAAUAAUAAUAAUUUGACCACCACCAGCCUGUGUUUCCAUUUCUCUGGGCUAACGAAGGCAUGCUGACUCCCCCCUCCAUGUUGUAAUUUUCUUUCUUUGAUUAAUCUCGUUAUUGGCCGUUCUGUAUGUGUAUAUAACGUACUCUAAUUAUUCUCUGCCCUAUACUCUCCCGCACAUCCCAGGUUCAUGAUUUUCCAUUGUGUUUUAUAACCCACUUAGUUUAAACAAGGCCCAAUAGUGUCACCAGUGGGUACACAGCUGAAGGCAAUGACUCUCCCUCCCUCUGACUCUAUCAGCAGAUAGCUCAACAGUGUGGCAGGCAGGGCCCCUUCCCGCCUCCCCUUUCCAUGCCCAGCUGUUAACAAUAGGCCCAUUUUUGUGUAGAUGUGCAUCUGUGGUGAGGGUGUGAUUGUCAUGGCAGUGUCUUGCCCAGUGGUAGACUUUUUCAGCUCUUCUCCCUAUCUUUCUGUUCUUACAUUCUUUCCGUCCCAUCUCCUGAAGUGUCCCUGAGCCGAGGAGAUGGCACAAAUAUCUUAUGUGGGUCUGAGCUCUCAGCAAUCAUGUAUCCUCAUCCCAUGUACAGCCCAGGGUCUCUGUAUUCACUCCUGUUCAAUGGUCAGAAAGGCUUCUCUGUUUACGAGAGUAAUAUUUGUCUAGAGACAUACACAGAAAUAUUUAGAAGGCAGUUAGACAUUUUGUCAGAGUUAAUACCUUCAGCAAAGAGGCAGGAUACGGACUUAACAUAUAAAAAAAUCAAUAGUCUUUCUACAUGCUAAUGAUAAGCACACCGAGAAAGAAAUCGGGGAAACGCUCCUAUUUGUGAUGACUUCGAAAAACUUACUUUGGAGGAACCCUAACUAAGGAGGUGAAGGACCUCUGUAGUGAGAACUUUAUAACUCCAAACAAGAAAUUAAGGAAGAUGCUAGAUGAUAGAAAGACCUCCUGUAGUUGUGAAUUGUUUGAUAUUGUGGAGUCCCACCAAAAGCCGUUCAUAGAUUGUGUGUAAUCGCAGUCAAAAUCCCUAUGCUAUUUUUC